CAUGACAAAACUUAUCUAGAGUAAUUAAGAUUGUGCCAGAGAUUAGUCAAACUCCUGUCUUUUGUUCAGGACCAUCUUUAGUGGUGAGAUAAAAUACUGCAAGUCUGAUCAAGGAAGUUGGUGUUUGAAUGAUGCAAUGUAAAGUAUUUACGACCGUAAGAUGCAGUAGC